UACGGAAGGCAGCAGUGGGGAAUAUUGCACAAUGGGCGCAAGCCUGAUGCAGCCAUGCCGCGUGUAUGAAGAAGGCCUUCGGGUUGUAAAGUACUUUCAGUCGUGAGGAAGGUGUUAAGGUUAAUAACCUUAGCAAUUGACGUUAGCGACAGAAGAAGCACCGGCUAACUCCGUGCCAGCAGCCGCGGUAAUACGGAGGGUGCGAGCGUUAAUCGGAAUUACUGGGCGUAAAGGGCACGCAGGCGGUUAAUUAAGUUGGAUGUGAAAUCCCCGGGCUUAACCUGGGAAUGGCAUUCAAGACUGGUUAGCUAGAGUCUUGUAGAGGGGGUAGAAUUCCAUGUGUAGCGGUGAAAUGCGUAGAGAUGUGGAGGAAUACCGGUGGCGAAGGCGGCCCCUGGACAAAAGGACUGACGCUCAUGUGCG
rnacentral:rRNA from 1 species